rnacentral:rRNA from 1 species
UUGUUGGUAAGGUAAAAGCUUACCAAGGCUUCGAUCAGUAGCUGGUCUGAGAGGACGACCAGCCACACUGGGACUGAGACACGGCCCAGACUCCUACGGGAGGCAGCAGUGGGGAAUUUUGGACAAUGGGGGCAACCCUGAUCCAGCCAUGCCGCGUGAGUGAAGAAGGCCUUCGGGUUGUAAAGCUCUUUCAGCCGGAACGAAACGGUUACGGAUAACACCCGUGACUACUGACGGUACCGGAAGAAGAAGCACCGGCUAACUACGUGCCAGCAGCCGCGGUAAUACGUAGAGUGCGAGCGUUAAUCGGAAUUACUGGGCGUAAAGCGUGCGCAGGUGGUUUUGUAAGUCAGAUGUGAAAGCCCCGGGCUCAACCUGGGAACUGCGUUUGAAACUACAAGACUAGAGUGUGGCAGAGGGGGGUGGAAUUCCGCGUGUAGCAGUGAAAUGCGUAGAGAUGUGGAGGAACACCGAUGGCGAAGGCAGCCCCCUGGGUCAACACUGACGCUCAGGCACGAAAGCAUGGGGAGCAAACAGGAUUAGAUACCCUGGUAGUCCAUGCCCUAAACGAUGUCAACUAGUUGUCGGGCCUUUACGGGCUUGGUAACGUAGCUAACGCGUGAAGUUGACCGCCUGGGGAGUACGAUCGCAAGAUUAAAACUCAAAUGAAUUGACGGGGACCCGCACAAGCGGUGGAUUAUGUGGAUUAAUUCGAUGCAACGCGAAAAACCUUACCUACCCUUGACAUGUAUCGAAGCCCGCAGAAAAGCGGGGGUGCCCGAAAGGGAACGAUAACACAGGUGCUGCAUGGCUGUCGUCAGCUCGUGUCGUGAGAUGUUGGGUUAAGUCCCGCAACGAGCGCAACCCUUGUCAUUAAUUGCCAUCAUUUAGUUGGGCACUUUAAUGAGACUGCCGG